UACGUAGGGGGCAAGCGUUGUCCGGAUUUACUGGGCGUAAAGCGCGCGUAGGCGGAACGUUAAGUCCGGUUUGAAAGCCCCCGGCUCAACCGGGGAGAGUGGCUGGAAACUGGCGUUCUGGAGGGCGAUAGAGGAGAGUGGAAUUCCUGGUGUAGCGGUGAAAUGCGUAGAUAUCAGGAGGAACACCAAUUGCGAAGGCAGCUCGCUGGGACGUAACUGACGCUGAGACGCGAAAGCGUGGGGAGCAAACAGG
rnacentral:rRNA from 1 species